CUCAUCUACCAUGUACACUGCCUUGCAACAAAGCAGAUUCAAAUACACCAGAGAGAAGUUAAGACUGCUAACACUAUAAAGCUAUUCUCAGCAUUAAAAGGACCAUAUUGUGCCUGUUGCCAUCCACGUGUUAAAGAUGAAGCCGGUCAGGAGAAAAAGGAACCAUUGGUGCCUAACUCAGCAUUCCAGGAUCUGAGACUAGAGAGAUGAAUCUGCCUGUUUUCCAUAUCUUCCCCAUUCAACUAUUAUCAACCAGAAUCUGAUGAUCUCUCUUACACCAUCAGCAUAAAUUACCACAAGAAGGCUCUAGAUCUGCUUGGAUUAAACCCAGAAUAUUUGGAUGAGUUGUUAGAAA